UACGUAGGGGGCAAGCGUUGUCCGGAUUUAUUGGGCGUAAAGAGCGUGUAGGCGGCCUUACAGGUCAGCUGUGAAAACUCGAGGCUCAACCUCGAGACGUCGGUUGAAACCGUAUGGCUAGAGUCCGGAAGAGGAGAGUGGAAUUCCCGGUGUAGCGGUGAAAUGCGCAGAUAUCAGGAGGAACACCAAUGGCGAAGGCAGCUCGCUGGGACGUGACUGACGCUGAGACGCGAAAGCGUGGGGAGCAAACAGG
rnacentral:rRNA from 1 species